rnacentral:rRNA from 1 species
AAGUCGUAACAAGGUCUCCGUAGGUGAACCUGCGGAGGGAUCAUUACACAAAUAUGAAGGCGGGCUGGAACCUCUCGGGGUUACAGCCUUGCUGAAUUAUUCACCCUUGUCUUUUGCGUACUUCUUGUUUCCUUGGUGGGUUCGCCCACCACUAGGACAAACAUAAACCUUUUGUAAUUGCAAUCAGCGUCAGUAACAAAUUAAUAAUUACAACUUUCAACAACGGAUCUCUUGGUUCUGGCUUCGAUGAAGAACGCAGCGAAAUGCGAUAAGUAGUGUGAAUUGCAGAAUUCAGUGAAUCAUCGAAUCUUUGAACGCACAUUGCGCCCUUUGGUAUUCCAAAGGGCAUGCCUGUUCGAGCGUCAUUUGUACCCUCAAGCUUUGCUUGGUGUUGGGCGUCUUGUCUCUAGCUUUGCUGGAGACUCGCCUUAAAGUAAUUGGCAGCCGGCCUACUGGUUUCGGAGCGCAGCACAAGUCGCACUCUCUAUCAGCAAAGGUCUAGCAUCCAUUAAGCCUUUUUUUCAACUUUUGACCUCGGAUCAGGUAGGGAUACCCGCUGAACUUAAGCAUAUCA